rnacentral:rRNA from 1 species
ACCCAGGUCCCAGACAAAAAUAAGGGAUUGACAGAUUGAGAGCUCUUUCUUGAUCUUUUGGAUGGUGGUGCAUGGCCGUUCUUAGUUGGUGGAGUGAUUUGUCUGCUUAAUUGCGAUAACGAACGAGACCUCGGCCCUUAAAUAGCCCGGUCCGCGUCCGCGGGCCGCUGGCUUCUUAGGGGGACUAUCGGCUCAAGCCGAUGGAAGUGCGCGGCAAUAACAGGUCUGUGAUGCCCUUAGAUGUUCUGGGCCGCACGCGCGCUACACUGACAGGGCCAGCGAGUACAUCACCUUGGCCGAGAGGCCCGGGUAAUCUUGUUAAACCCUGUCGUGCUGGGGAUAGAGGAUUGCAAUUAUUGCUCUUCAACGAGGAAUGCCUAGUAGGCACGAGUCAUCAGCUCGUGCCGAUUACGUCCCUGCCCUUUGUUUUACU